rnacentral:rRNA from 1 species
GACGUUACCUACAGAAGAAGCACCGGCUAACUCCGUGCCAGCAGCCGCGGUAAUACGGAGGGUGCGAGCGUUAAUCGGAAUUACUGGGCGUAAAGCGCAUGCAGGCGGCCUGUUAAGUCAGAUGUGAAAGACCCGGGGCGUUAACCUCGGAAUUGCAUUUGAAACUGGCAGGCUAGAGUCUUGUAGAGGGGGGUAGGAAUUUCAGGUGUAGCGGUGAAAUAGCGUAGAGAUCUGAAGGAAUACCAGUGGCGAAGGCGGCCCCCUCGGACAAAGACUGACGCUCAGAUGCGAAAGCGUGGGGAGCAAACAGGAUUAGAUACCCUGGUAG